GUGAGGAAUAUUGGUCAAUGGGCGCAAGCCUGAACCAGCCAUCCCGCGUGCAGGAAGACGGCCCUAUGGGUUGUAAACUGCUUUUCCAGGGAGAGAAACUUACGCACGUGUUGCGUGACUGACGGUACCCUGGGAAUAAGCAUCGGCUAACUCCGUGCCAGCAGCCGCGGUAAUACGGAGGAUGCAAGCGUUAUCCGGAUUCAUUGGGUUUAAAGGGUGCGUAGGCGGGCUAUUAAGUCAGUGGUGAAAUCCUGCAGCUUAACUGCAGAACUGCCGUUGAUACUGAUAGUCUUGAGUUUGGUUAAGGUAGGCGGAAUGUGUAAUGUAGCGGUGAAAUGCUUAGAUAUUACACAGAACACCAAUUGCGUAGGCAGCUUACUGAGCCGACACUGACGCUGAGGCACGAAAGCGUGGGGAUCAAACAGGAUUAGAAACCCUAGUAGUCC
rnacentral:rRNA from 1 species